AUCUUCCGGCCUCCUUAGCAGCGCCGCCCGCCGGGGGCCGCGGGAGUCGGGCCAGGCCGGCGACUCCGGAGGGCUCGGGGCGGCCCGGGUGUCGGACGCGAGCGGGGCCGCGGCGGCCGGAGCUCCCCGCGCAGGUUGACAGCUACAGGUAGCAGCCGUGGAAGCUGGAAUAUUCUGAUGCUGGUUAUUUUUACUGACCUGCAGCAACUCUGCGGCCUAAGGGUCUGGGAAGGAGGCAUUGCUAACAAGUGGCCAGUGCCCUCUUUAGGAGUACAACUCUCCAAGAAUCACCUCAGAACCAGAAUCUGUUAGUACCUCCAGAGCAAACAUCAAUGUGGAAGAAGGACCUGCCAGGAUGGGUCCUUUAAGGAGACUCUGAAUAUGUGAUUAAACUAAAGAUCUCAAGAUGGAGAGAUUAACUGGACUAUCUGAGUGGACCGUAAAUAUAAUUACAAGUGUCCUUAGAAGAGGGAGACCCAGAUUGACUGGAUAGCAGAACAGAAGAAAGCAGGGCUACAGCUGAGGCUACGCUGCUGGCUCUGGAGAGGAGAAGGGAUGCAUGGAAUGAACCUCUGGAAGUGGGAAAAGGCAAAGAGACGGGUUGUUCCCUAGAGCCUACAAAAGGAGCGUGGGCCUGCAGACACCUUCACGUCAUCCCAGUGAGACUGAUUUCAAACUGUAAGACAAUAAACCUGUGCUUUUUGAAGCAAUCAAGUUUGUGGUCAUUUGUGACAGGGGUCAUGGGAAAUUCGGACACACAGUAGCGCUGGCCGCGUUUUGGGAGCACACUUCUAGACAAUGUAGUUCUAGAAUCCUCUGCUUGGGAGAACAAGUCAGAGAAUUUUCCAGGUCAGGGAGAAAGGUUUCACGGGAAGAUAAAUGAAGACAAUAUUCUUGAUUCAAGAUCUUGGACAAAGCUGCCUACUUCAUGGUGUCAUCUGCUUCUGGAGCCUGGGUAGGCUCUGGAAAUCCUCAACUUGAUGUCACUCAUACGGACGGCCUUCUAAUUGUUAUAGGGGUGAUGAUCUCUGGACCUAGCUUGGUGGGUCUCCUGGAAGAUUCUGGAAGAUUUUUAUUUUGAUCAAAGUGUAGACGGUUAACAGUAUUUCCUAAAGCCUCUAAAGCCUUCCCAGCGAGAUGAUGACGCACGGUUUCUUCUACAAACUUCGAUGUGUACUCCAUCUCCUGGUAGAAAGCAGAUUUGAUGGCAUUAGUGGAAUUGAAGAAAACUGGCAACUUUGAGAACGAGAAAUACAGGCGCUGCACCCGUGAACCCUUUAUGUCCUUGUCCUGUUUCCAAGAGCUGUUGCCCUUGGUUCUAUCCCCAGAUUCCACACCGAGAACUGCUGGUGGUAGCUGUUUGGAAUCAGCCCGCCGUUCUUUGGGGUCUGCUGGUUCAAAUCUUUCCCCCAUUCCCAGAUUCCAUACAGUGUUGGUGGUUACUAACCAAAGUUGGAUGGGUCCAGGGUCAGACUGGGUCCAAUUUGGGCUAGACUGGGUGUAGUGGGAGGCCUCAGGUAGACUAACUUCCUUCGAUCCAUCUGCUUCCACCACCUAAAUGUUGCAGCACCCUUGAUCUAGCUCUGUUACUACCUCUACAUGAUGAAGGUGAGCCCCAGGGCUGAGGCAGGGAGUCCCAUUUCAUGACACGUCAUCCUGACUUAGGAGAUACCCCUCUAACUAAUCCUGAUCUCGUCUGACUUAUUGAUGGGACCAUAGAGUAGAGGUGAAAAAGGACAUUUUCAGGCUGCUUGUGCUGUCCUUACACAGUUUGACCUGCUGGAAAGGGGAAAGCUCUCACAAGCUAAAUCUACCCAAUCAGCAGAGAGCUCCAUGCUUGACCUGAGCAUGCCAGUUAUCAGAAGAACUUACUGCUCAUAUUGAUAUGGAUAGCUGGGAUGCCUUUGGAGUCAUCUGUGACUUUGGAAUGUUGUGGAGACAAAGGGGAUUUCUUGCACCCUCUGGGACCCCAAUCAAAACUGGGCAACAAGUAAAUGGGUCCUCUUACUGCUAUUCUGCUAUUCUCCUAACUUCUGAAAUUGCUGUCAUCAAAACUGAGGCUCACCCUGAGAGCACGGAGGACCAGGGAACGUCCCGGCUGGCUCUCAUGACAAGGCAGGGGCAACAGCAUCUGUAGAUUGUGGCAUGUGUGGACGAAGUCCAUUCUGCUUCUGCAAAAAAGCAGAAGCUCCUUGUUGCCUAAUGUUUGCGAUCCUGAUGUCCUUGUAACAUGGCAACAGUCUGCUCCUGAAUCAGAGAAAUGAAGAUGGGUUAACAUUGAAAUUAAACAACAGUUGGACCUACACCUAACUCCAUUUUUAGGUUUUCAUAUUCCUUCACCCCCCACCCCCAGGGCACUUAAGAUAACCCAAAUUAUAAAUAGAUAUUGGUAGGGAUGCUUCUAUAAAAUUGCAAAAACAAUCUACCAGCCACGUAUGACCUGCCAUAGCCAUGAUCCUGGGAAAAUACUUUUGUCCAGAGAAGCCUCAGAACCUCCUCCCUCUGGAUCCUUUGAAUGCCUGCAGCUGGGCUUCAUUCAACUGCUACUUGGUAUGGGUUAGCAAUAUAUUUUUGUUAUCAUGUGUGGGUUUUCCAGGUGUGCUGAAGCCAUCCCCUGCCACGAGGCUGAUGCCCUCACAGUGGCAAAGAAUCUGUUGGAAAAUGAGUUUCCCAUUUGGGGUAUACCUUCCACAUUCUCCAGUGAUCAAGGUUCCCACUUCACUAGGCUAGUCAUGAGCCUUUUUUUUUUUUUUAAAGAUUUUAUUUAUUGAUUUGAGAGAGCAAAUUUAUUGAUCUGAGAGAGAGCAAGAAUGAGUGGUGGGGAGGGGCAGAGGGAUAGACCCCCGGCUGAGCAGGAAGCCUGAAGGGGGGCUCCAUCCCAGGACCUAGAGAUGGUGACCUGAGCUGAAGGCAAAUGCUUAGCUCACUGAGCCACCCAGAUGCCCCAAAUCAUAUGAGCCUUAACGAACACUUUGCAAACCUCCUGUGGAUUACCACUGUCCCUAUCACCCUCAAUCAUCAGGCAAGGUUGAGGGAACUAAACGAGAUUUUUAAACUUAAAAAUGUCUAAACUUGCAGAGACCACAGAUAUCCAUGGCUGACAGUAUUGUCUUUGGUCUUGCUGAUUAUUCACAGUACUACAUUUUGGGAAAGUCACCGUACACAAGAUAGUUACAGAAAGAUCCACGUCUACUGGUAUAGAACCUUCUGCUGAAGUUAUACAACUUUCAUGCCAGUAUGACCAGCUACAGUAAGUCUUAUGCUUAUGUCUUAUGCUUAAGCAUAUUAACAAGAGAUUAAAGAAGGUUUUCUGGAUCCCAUUUCAAAGGAUCCUGUUGGGCACGGUCUAGAGCCUGGUAACUCGGUAUUCUGGGAGUGUCCUCAGAGGAAGACAGCCUCAUUAUGCCUCAUCGGAAGGGACCUUACCAAGUACUCCUGACCACACUCUACUGCAAAUCUAGAACACCCUGAGUCUCUAGACAAUCAGUACUUGUCUCACUGAUAAAGAAGUCUCCACCUGACAUCUGGCCCUGGGCAGACCUACAAAUUGAAUUGACAAGGAAGAGAAGUAGCUGACAUCCAAGUAGACUGCCUUCAGUCAAGACGCUGGAUCAAGAUUUCAUACUUUAACUAGACAUGAAGCCCUAUCUCCUUUAUCUUUUUUUCACUCUGGCAUUGGCCUGGAGAGAGAAUGCCCAUGCUUGUAUCCUUCAGGCCAUUGCUAAGGGGGUGGGGAUUAGCUCUCAGAUUGCUAGAUUUGUCAUGAUGCAAAGAAUCCUCCCUGGGACCAAAAUUUCUCUUGGAAUCCCAAUGUCAAUGCAAAUUAUGCCUGAACGCGCCCCCUCUCUGCUCCCCACUUAGCAGUAUGUACCCAAUUAGACAAUUUACCUAUGUGAAUCUUAGGACAUUUGAACCCUAGGUUCCCGUGAUCAUCUAGACCAGAUCUGUCCCCAUUCGUUAAGAGAGCACACCAGCAGCACCCAUCUUUGUAAGGCACUUAAAAUGAUUUUUUAUUUCAGGUUUGGAGAUUCUCUCCCUAUACAUGCUAAAACCCUGACUGCCCCCCAGUUUAGGAAUAAAUACAAAUGAGAAUAUGAUUCGAAACCUCUCCUUAACUCUUAGAGACACUGCAGAUUCUGUUGCUAAGACACUAGCUACCCAGCAAAGAUCCUUAGACUCUCGGGCCAAAGCUGUUCUGAGUAAGGAGGUGUCUGUGUUGUAGCCAACUGAACUAGCUGUACCUGGAUUAACACUUCUGGGGAAGCUGCAACUCAGUUAUGUGAGAUUACUCAGCAAACCACUUGGUUUAAAAAGGGUGACUUGGUCAAUGGGGUCAUUCUUUGAUUGGUUUGUUCUUAGGGGCCAUGGCUCUGAAGUAUGCUUCAAAUGUUGGGAAUUAUGCUGCUUAUAGUUACAAUAAUCUCCCUGGUGUGCUGUAUUCUCCCGAGAGCUUUAAAUACAUGUUUGCAGCACUAACCACUAUGUAAAUGAUCUCUCUCGAAGACUGGAAUGACAAAAAGGGAACAAAGACAAUGACCAACUAAAAAACUGUGAGCCUGAAGUCAUGACCUGUGAGUACCACAGAGAGUCAGCAAAACCCAGGAUGAAUGAAAGCAGUGAGAACUAGAGCAGGAGCUGAGAUGGUGCUAAUGCCUUCAAUUUUGAUCACAUCUCAGGCUGAAAGUUUGACCAAGAGGGGUGGGAACUGUUAAAAAAGAAACAAUAGGCCCCAAAUGGAGUUGCUCCAAGACUUCCCGGCUAACCUAACUGCACUUUGAGCCUCUCUCGGUUUUAAACUCAUCAGUCUGGAAUUUCCUGACCAGCUCCAGUGAGGUAAUCUGCAUAAGACCCCCUGCCCUUGCCCUUAAGGGAAGGUGACCUUGCCUGAAACCAUCCUUUCUUUUCUUCUGCUAUUUAACUUUAUUAUCCCAUCCUCUUCUGCCUCUCAAAGCUUUCUACUUGGUUCAAUUCCUUGGAAUACUCUAUUUGUUAGAUGGGAUGCUGCUGACUCAUGGGUCUUAAAUAAAGGCAAUUUGAUAUUUCAAUUUA